CUGGUUGGUUGAAGAGGAAGGGAGCGAGCGAGAGUUGCCUGCCUGCCAUGAGUUGAACCCCAUCUGACGCAGACGUUCCAACUUAGAGUUCCCAGUUGUCUUGAAAGCACCAUAAAUCCAGAGAAUGCCAGACUUUGAUGCCAAAGUUUGUCCACAAAGGACCGCCACGCCACCUUCCUGUUGAAGUGAGCACAGCACAACAAGUCCCUGCUGCUCCCGUGCCCUUCGACGCUCUUCAGGAAAGUCAGCUCUUUGAUACAGAGAACUCAGAGCCUCUGAUCCCCAUCGGAGGGCGCUAUUUAUCCACCAACGGCCAGCCCAGAACCAGGAGCCCCCAGGAGAUCGCAGUACCACCGAACCCCACACGGAGGCACUAAUGGCACAGCGCAGCCCCCACAACGCCACAGACACAGAGGGACAGAGGCCUCCAUCAUCUUUGGGGAUGAAAGCAGCUCCUCUGACCACAGUGACUUGGAAAGCUCCGUCAGCCCUCUGCGGGCUGUCUGCCUACGCCUACGUUUCCCAGCAGCCCUCACUCCACAGGAAGUGCCCCCAGUCAGGAAACAAGCUCUUCUGUUCUUGAAGCGAGAUAAGCUGCAGCCCUCUCUGUCUUCGGGAAGAAGGAGUACAACAGUGCCAAGACCCGCCUCCCAGAACCAGUUCCGGUGUUGUCCAAUAGCAGGCCAGCGCUUGUUCCUGAGGAUGAAUAUCUGAUAGACGAUUGACUGGAGGAUGAUAUGGUGUCGUCGUCUACCAUUAGGGGUUUCUCACUGAGGAAGACCGACAACGACCCCCGAUCUUCCACGCCGCCCCAGAACCACCACAGCACUCAGCAGGUCAGAGAGAUCAAGUGAGAGCUGACCUGGGUUCAAAUAGUAUUUCAAAUUUGAACAUUUGCUUUAGCCUGCCUGCAGUGCCAGGUGUGCAGGGUUUGGAUACUAUGAAGCCGUUUUUAUCUCCAUAUCAAACCAUUUCUGGGUAACAAUUACCUGUCAUUGUUUUAAAUU